rnacentral:rRNA from 1 species
UACGUAGGGUGCAAGCGUUGUCCGGAAUUAUUGGGCGAAAGAGCUCGUAGGCGGUUUUGUUGCGUCGGCUGUGAAAUCCCGAGGCUCAACCUCGGGUCUGCAGUCGAUACGAGCAAACUAGAGUGUUUGCAGGGGAGACUGGGAAUUCCUGGUGUAGCGGUGAAAUGCGCAGAUAUCAGGAGGAACACCGGUGGCGAAGGCGGGUCUCUGGGCAACAACUGACGCUGGAGGAGCGAAAGCGUGGGGAGCGAACAGGA